GACGAACGCUGGCGGCGUGCUUAACACAUGCAAGUCGAACGGAAAGGCCCUGAUUUUGUUGGGUGCUCGAGUGGCGAACGGGUGAGUAACACGUGAGUAACCUGCCCUUGACUUUCGGGUAACUUCAGGAAACUGGGGCUAAUACACGAUAGGAGCUUCUGCUGCACGGGGGGGGUUGGAAAGUUUCGGCGGUUGGGGCUGGAUUCGAGGCUUAUCCGCUUGUUGGUGGGGUUGUGGCUUACCAAGGCUUUGAAGGGUACCCGGCCUGGGAGGGUGACCGGCCACAUUGGGACUGAGAUAGGCAGCAGACUGCUACGGUAGGCAGCAGUGGGGAAUAUUGCACAAUGGGCGGACGCCAGAGGCAGCAACGCCGCGUGCGGGAUGACGGCCUUCGGGGUGUAAACCGAUUUCGCCUGUGACGAAGCGUGAGUGACGGUAAUGGGUAAGGAAGCACCGGCUAACUACGUG
rnacentral:rRNA from 1 species